UCUGGUUGAUUCUGCCAGUAGUCAUAUGCUUGUCUCAAAGAUUAAGCCAUGCAUGUCUAAGUAUAAGCAAUUAUACAGCGAAACUGCGAAUGGCUCAUUAUAUAAGUUAUCGUUUAUUUGAUAGUACCUUACUACUUGGAUAACCGUGGUAAUUCUAGAGCUAAUACAUGCUGAAAAUCCCGACUUCGGAAGGGAGGUAUUUAUUAGAUUAAAAACCAAUGCCCUCUGGGCUCCUUGGUGAUUCAUAAUAACUUUUCGAAUCGCACGGCCUUGCGCCGGCGAUGGUUCAUUCAAAUUUCUUCCCUAUCAACUUUCGAUGUUUGGGUAUUGGCCAAACAUGGUCGCAACGGGUAACGGAGGGUUAGGGCUCGACCCCGGAGAAGGAGCCUGAGAAACGGCUACUACAUCCAAGGAAGGCAGCAGGCGCGCAAAUUACCCAAUCCCGAUUCGGGGAGGUAGUGACAAUAAAUACUGAUACAGGGCUCUUUUGGGUCUUGUAAUUGGAAUGAGUACAAUUUAAAUCUCUUAACGAGGAACAAUUGGAGGGCAAGUCUGGUGCCAGCAGCCGCGGUAAUUCCAGCUCCAAUAGCGUAUAUUAAAGUUGUUGUGGUUAAAAAGCUCGUAGUUGAACCUUGGGCCUGGCUGGCCGGUCCGCCUCACCGCGUGUACUGGUCCGGCCGGGCCUUUCCCUCUGUGGAACCUCAUGCCCUUCACUGGGUGUGGCGGGGAAACAGGACUUUUACUUUGAAAAAAUUAGAGUGCUCCAGGCAGGCCUAUGCUCGAAUACAUUAGCAUGGAAUAAUAAAAUAGGACGCGUGGUUCUAUUUUGUUGGUUUCUAGGACCGCCGUAAUGAUUAAUAGGGACAGUCGGGGGCAUCAGUAUUCAAUUGUCAGAGGUGAAAUUCUUAGAUUUAUUGAAGACUAACUACUGCGAAAGCAUUUGCCAAGGAUGUUUUCAUUAAUCAGGAACGAAAGUUAGGGGAUCGAAGACGAUCAGAUACCGUCGUAGUCUUAACCAUAAACUAUGCCGACUAGGGAUCGGACGAUGUUAUUUUUUGACGCGUUCGGCACCUUACGAGAAAUCAAAGUGCUUGGGCUCCAGGGGGAGUAUGGUCGCAAGGCUGAAACUUAAAGAAAUUGACGGAAGGGCACCACCAGGGGUGGAGCCUGCGGCUUAAUUUGACUCAACACGGGGAAACUCACCAGGUCCAGACACAAUGAGGAUUGACAGAUUGAGAGCUCUUUCUUGAUUUUGUGGGUGGUGGUGCAUGGCCGUUCUUAGUUGGUGGAGUGAUUUGUCUGCUUAAUUGCGAUAACGAACGAGACCUUAACCUGCUAAAUAGCCUGUAUUGCUUUGGCAGUACGCCGGCUUCUUAGAGGGACUAUCGGCUCAAGCCGAUGGAAGUUUGAGGCAAUAACAGGUUGACCUACAC
rnacentral:rRNA from 1 species